rnacentral:rRNA from 1 species
UCGAGAAUAUUCGACAAUGGGCGAAAGCCUGAUCGAGCGACGCCGCGUGCAGGAUGAAGGCCCUCGGGUUGUAAACUGCGGUAGUAGGGGAGGAACGCAAGUGACUGUACCCUACGGAAAGUGGUUGGUAACUACGUGCCAGCACCAGCGGUAAUACGUAGACCACAAGCGUUAUCCGGAUUUAUUGGGCGUAAAGAGCAUGUAGGAGGUCCGGUGCGUCUCUGGUUAAAGCCCACCGCCUAACGGUGGAAGUGCCAGAGAUACGAUCGGACUGGAGGAUGUGAGAGGUGCAUGGAACUCACGGUGUAGGGGUGAAAUCCGUUGAUAUCGUGGGGAACACCAAAGGCGAAGGCAGUGCACUGGUACAUUCCUGACUCUGAGAUGCGAAAGCGUGGGGAGCAAAAAGGAUUAGAUACCCUCGUAGUCCCUGAGCGGGCUGGCAAGGCGCAU